rnacentral:rRNA from 1 species
UAACACGUGGGCAACCUGCCCCUUAGACUGGGAUAACUUCGGGAAACCGGAGCUAAUACCGGAUAAUCCCUUUCUCCACCUGGAGAGAGGGUGAAAGAUGGCUUCGGCUAUCACUAGGGGAUGGGCCCGCGGCGCAUUAGCUAGUUGGUAAGGUAACGGCUUACCAAGGCAACGAUGCGUAGCCGACCUGAGAGGGUGAUCGGCCACACUGGGACUGAGACACGGCCCAGACUCCUACGGGAGGCAGCAGUAGGGAAUCUUCCGCAAUGGACGAAAGUCUGACGGAGCAACGCCGCGUGAGUGAGGAAGGCCUUCGGGUCGUAAAGCUCUGUUGUGAGGGAAGAAGCGGUACCGUUCGAAUAGGGCGGUACCUUGACGGUACCUCACCAGAAAGCCACGGCUAACUACGUGCCAGCAGCCGCGGUAAUACGUAGGUGGCAAGCGUUGUCCGGAAUUAUUGGGCGUAAAGCGCGCGCAGGCGGCUUCUUAAGUCUGAUGUGAAAUCUCGGGGCUCAACCCCGAGCGGCCAUUGGAAACUGGGGAGCUUGAGUGCAGAAGAGGAGAGUGGAAUUCCACGUGUAGCGGUGAAAUGCGUAGAGAUGUGGAGGAACACCAGUGGCGAAGGCGACUCUCUGGUCUGUAACUGACGCUGAGGCGCGA